GUGUUGCACUGGUGCAACAUAACCGUUUAGAAGCGUAUCCACAGAACAGAUAUUGCCAAUUUCAUUUGUACACCCUCUUUUUAGUGGUGGCUGACCCUAACGAGUAACGGGAUUUAGCCGCUGCUAAUGACUACGUUUUCAUGAGUUGCGUCCCUUUGAUGCAAACACGCCAUUUGUCCAAUGUAAAGUCGGACCGAAAAGGAUAUUAAUUUCAAUGUUUAUAUUUCAAAAUAAAUGUCUGUGCAAUGGAACUAAUGGAAGAAACUGCUAGGCCUAAACGUAGCAAAACUGUGCGUGACUUUUCGGAGUUCUUCAAAGUGUUACACGCAGUUACACCUGUUACCGGUACCGUGCUGACUGAAAAGUGUUACAUGCAGUUACACCAGUGACCUGUUACCGAUACAUGCUGAUUGCAAGGUGUUACACGCAAUUACACCUGUAACCGAUACAUACUGAUUGCCAAGUCUUACACCUGUAACCGAUAAUGCCAAUUGCAGUGUUACAUGCUGUUACACCAGUUAUCGGUACCAUGCUAAUUGCAAAGUGUUACACGCAGUUACACCUGUUACUGGAUACAUGCCAAUUUCUAAGUGUUACACACAGUUAUGUCUGUUACCGGAUACAUGCCGAUAGCAAAGUGUUACAUCUGUUAUCACUACAUGCCGAUUUUAAAGAGUUACACGCAGUUACACCUGUUACAAACAGCAAAUGAAGGCGAGUGUCUGCUGAGGUUCGCCAUGAUGGUAUUGAUCAUUUGCCAGAGUUUGGAGAAAAGCGCAAACGAUGCAGAUUUUCAGGGUGUGAUGGGAUUACAUAUGUUAAGUGUCCCAAAUGUGAUGUAAAUUUAUGCUUUGUGCGUCAGAAAAACUGCUUCCGGGACUAUCACACAUAGACACAUAUGGACAGAUGGGACAGUGAAUGAUCAAUUUACACUAAAAGAGAACUUACUGUAAAGUGUUACUGUUGUAGAAUUUAAACUAUCAUGUACCAAAACUGUGUGCAUGUGCAUGAAACAAAAUACUGUUAAUUCAGUUGAAAAUAUCAAGUUCUGAAAUUAAAUACGUGUAGAUUUUGAAAGGACAUCAGUACGUAUGUACAUAAAUAGGUCAAAACUGACUGCCAUUGUAUUUUAAUUGGAAUUAUAUCUAUUUAAUAUUUCAUUGUUUAUCAUUAAAUAUGUUACACCUGUUAAAAGUA
rnacentral:lncRNA from 1 species